GACGAACGCUGGCGGCGUGCUUAACACAUGCAAGUCGAACGGAAAGGCCCUGCUUUUGUGGGGUGCUCGAGUGGCGAACGGGUGAGUAACACGUGAGUAACCUGCCCUUGACUUUGGGAUAACUUCAGGAAACUGGGGCUAAUACCGGAUAGGAGCUCCUGCUGCAUGGUGGGGGUUGGAAAGUUUCGGCGGUUGGGGAUGGACUCGCGGCUUAUCAGCUUGUUGGUGGGGUAGUGGCUUACCAAGGCUUUGACGGGUAGCCGGCCUGAGAGGGUGACCGGCCACAUUGGGACUGAGAUACGGCCCAGACUCCUACGGGAGGCAGCAGUGGGGAAUAUUGCACAAUGGGCGGAAGCCUGAUGCAGCAACGCCGCGUGCGGGAUGACGGCCUUCGGGUUGUAAACCGCUUUCGCCUGUGACGAAGCGUGAGUGACGGUAAUGGGUAAAGAAGCACCGGCUAACUACGUGCCAGCAGCCGCGGUGAUACGUAGGGUGCGAGCGUUGUCCGGAUUUAUUGGGCGUAAAGGGCUCGUAGGUGGUUGAUCGCGUCGGAAGUGUAAUCUUGGGGCUUAACCCUGAGCGUGCUUUCGAUACGGGUUGACUUGAGGAAGGUAGGGGAGAAUGGAAUUCCUGGUGGAGCGGUGGAAUGCGCAGAUAUCAGGAGGAACACCAGUGGCGAAGGCGGUUCUCUGGGCCUUUCCUGACGCUGAGGAGCGAAAGCGUGGGGAGCGAACAGGCUUAGAUACCCUGGUAGUCCACGCUGUAAACGGUGGGUACUAGGUGUGGGGUCCAUUCCACGGGUUCCGUGCCGUAGCUAACGCUUUAAGUACCCCGCCUGGGGAGUACGGCCGCAAGGCUAAAACUCAAAGGAAUUGACGGGGCCCCGCACAAGCGGCGGAGCAUGCGGAUUAAUUCGAUGCAACGCGUAGAACCUUACCUGGGUUUGACAUGGAUCGGGAGUGCUCAGAGAUGGGUGUGCCUCUUUUGGGGUCGGUUCACAGGUGGUGCAUGCCUGUCGUCAGCUCGUGUCGUGAGAUGUUGGGUUAAGUCCCGCAACGAGCGCAAUCCUUGUUCACUGUUGCCAGCACGUUAUGGUGGGGACUCAAUGGAGACCGCCGGGGUCAACUCGGAGGAAGGUGGGGAUGACGUCAAGUCAUCAUGCCCCUUAUGUCCAGGGCUUCACGCAUGCUACAAUGGCUGGUACAGAGAGUGGCGAGCCUGUGAGGGUGAGCGAAUCUCGGAAAGCCGGUCUCAGUUCGGAUUGGGGUCUGCAACUCGACCUCAUGAAGUCGGAGUCGCUAGUAAUCGCAGAUCAGCAACGCUGCGGUGAAUACGUUCCCGGG
rnacentral:rRNA from 1 species